rnacentral:rRNA from 1 species
GAUGAACGCUGGCGGUAUGCUUAACACAUGCAGGUCGAACGGACUCUUCGGAGUUAGUGGCGGACGGGUGAGUAACGCGUGAGAAUCUGGCUUUGGGUUCGGGACAACCACUGGAAACGGUGGCUAAUACCGGAUGUGCCGAGAGGUAAAAGAGAAAUUGCCCGAAGAUGAGCUCGCGUCUGAUUAGCUAGUUGGUGAGGUAAAGGCUCACCAAGGCAGCGAUCAGUAGCUGGUCUGAGAGGAUGACCAGCCACACUGGGACUGAGACACGGCCCAGACUCCUACGGGAGGCAGCAGUGGGGAAUUUUCCGCAAUGGGCGAAAGCCUGACGGAGCAAUACCGCGUGAGGGAAGAAGGCUCUUGGGUUGUAAACCUCUUUUCUUAGGGAAGAACAAAAUGACGGUACCUAAGGAAUCAGCAUCGGCUAACUCCGUG